GUGGGUGUAGCUCAGUGGUAGAGCGUGUGCUUAGCAUGCAGAGGGUCCUAGGUUCAAUCCCCAGUGCCUCCA
rnacentral:tRNA from 1 species